rnacentral:rRNA from 1 species
GGGGAAUUUUCCGCAAUGGGCGAAAGCCUGACGGAGCAAUACCGCGUGAGGGAGGGAGGCUCUUGGGUCGUAAACCUCUUUUCUCAGGGAAGAACACAAUGACGGUACCUGAGGAAUAAGCAUCGGCUAACUCCGUGCCAGCAGCCGCGGUAAUACGGAGGAUGCAAGCGUUAUCCGGAAUGAUUGGGCGUAAAGCGUCCGCAGGUGGCGAUGUAAGUCUGCUGUUAAAGAGUGAGGCUCAACCUCAUAAGAGCAGUGGAAACUACAUAGCUAGAGUACGUUCGGGGCAGAGGGAAUUCCUGGUGUAGCGGUGAAAUGCGUAGAGAUCAGGAAGAACACCAGUGGCGAAGGCGCUCUGCUAGGCCGUAACUGACACUGAGGGACGAAAGCUAGGGGAGCGAAUGGGAUUAGAUACCCCAGUAGUCCUAGCCGUAAACGAUGGAUACUAGGCGUGGCUUGUAUCGACCCGAGCCGUGCCGUAGCUAACGCGUUAAGUAUCCCGCCUGGGGAGUACGCCGGCAACGGUGAAACUCAAAGGAAUUGACGGGGGCCCGCACAAGCGGUGGAGUAUGUGGUUUAAUUCGAUGCAACGCGAAGAACCUUACCAAGGCUUGACAUGUCGCGAAUCUUGAUGAAAGUUAAGAGUGCCUUCGGGAGCGCGAACACAGGUGGUGCAUGGCUGUCGUCAGCUCGUGUCGUGAGAUGUUGGGUUAAGUCCCGCAACGAGCGCAACCCUCGUUUUUAGUUGCCAGCAUUAAGUUGGGCACUCUAGAGAGACUGCCGGUGACAAACCGGAGGAAGGUGGGGAUGACGUCAAGUCAGCAUGCCCCUUACGCCUUGGGCUACACACGUACUACAAUGCUCCGGACAGAGGGCAGCAAGCGGGCGACCGCAAGCAAAUCCCGUAAACCGGAGCUCAGUUCAGAUCGCAGGCUGCAACUCGCCUGCGUGAAGGAGGAAUCGCUAGUAAUUGCAGGUCAGCAUACUGCAGUGAAUUCGUUCCCGGGCCUUGUACACACCGCCCGUCACACCAUGGAAGCUGGUAGUGCCCGAAGUCAUUACUCCAACCUUUCGGGGAGGAGGAUGCCUAAGGCAGGACUGGUGACUGGGGU